ACGCUGGCGGCAGGCUUAACACAUGCAAGUCGAACGGUAACAGGGAUUAGCUUGCUAAUUUGCUGACGAGUGGCGGACGGGUGAGUAAUGCUUGGGAAUCUGGCUUAUGGAGGGGGAUAACUACGGGAAACUGUAGCUAAUACCGCGUAAUAUCGGAAGAUUAAAGGGUGGGACUUUCGAGCCACCUGCCAUAAGAUGAGCCCAAGUGGGAUUAGGUAGUUGGUUAGGUAAAGGCUGACCAAGCCGACGAUCUCUAGCUGGUCUGAGAGGAUGACCAGCCACACUGGAACUGAGACACGGUCCAGACUCCUACGGGAGGCAGCAGUGGGGAAUAUUGCACAAUGGGGGGAACCCUGAUGCAGCCAUGCCGCGUGAAUGAAGAAGGCCUUCGGGUUGUAAAGUUCUUUCGGUGACGAGGAAGGUUGAUAGGUUAAUAGCCUAUCAAAUUGACGUUAAUCACAGAAGAAGCACCGGCUAACUCCGUGCCAGCAGCCGCGGUAAUACGGGGGGUGCGAGCGUUAAUCGGAAUAACUGGGCGUAAAGGGCACGCAGGCGGUGACUUAAGUGAGAUGUGAAAGCCCCGAGCUUAACUUGGGAAUUGCAUUUCAUACUGGGUCGCUAGAGUACUUUAGGGAGGGGUAGAAUUCCACGUGUAGCGGUGAAAUGCGUAGAGAUGUGGAGGGAUACCGAAGGCGAAGGCAGCCCCUUGGGAAUGUACUGACGCUCAUGUGCGAAAGCGUGGGGAGCAAACAGGAUUAGAUACCCUGGUAGUCCACGCUGUAAACGAUGUCGAUUUGGGGAUUGGGCUUUGAGCUUGGUGCCCGUAGCUAACGUGAUAAAUCGACCGCCUGGGGAGUACGGCCGCAAGGUUAAAACUCAAAUGAAUUGACGGGGGCCCGCACAAGCGGUGGAGC
rnacentral:rRNA from 1 species